CAGUAUGGAUGCGCAUGCACGUGCUGGAGCGCGUUAGUGUGUGUGCGUCUGUGUGUGACUGUGUGUGCGUGAAUCGAUGAGAUACGUGCUUGAUUGGGUCUCCCUUGUUGUAAUAAUGUACAUGAGGAGGAGGAGGAGGAGGUGACGAGCUCAGGCUGCUCCCAUGCAUGCGGGCUGGCUGGAGCGCACGGAUCAGCCGAGCUGUAGCUCCUACUACUGCCAAAACACUUUCUUGGCCGCUGAUUUUUCUCCCGUAUUUUUUUUUCUUUACGUGGCCUGAUAGGAGCUAUUUAAAUCAGCCACGCAGCGAACCAGACGUGUCUCCCCACACUGCGCUCCGCUCUCCUUCCUGCGCCUCAAGUGACCGGAGAGGCGCAAACUCUUGACCAAGAGGUGUCCGUCUUUUUUCUUUGUUUUGUCAAGGGAUGGAAUGAAAUAAAGUACUUUUCUUUUCUUUACAGGCAAAUCCUCAGAGUGGAACGCGUGCCUUCACGGCGGUGAAAAUAAUGGAUAAAAGAUUCUUGUAGAGGGAAUGGAAGAACAAGGGAGGGUAACAAGGGUUGGCGCAGUGAUUUGCAAGAUCAUUCAUUGAUCCGGUGCAUUUGACCUCAGCUGGAACCAGCGGUCUGCCAGGGUAUGAGACCAUAUGCACACAAGCACACUCAUUUAGGUGCAACGAAAUACACUCAUCUUGAAAACGUAGCCAACGCGUUACUCGUCGCUAAGUAGAUGUUUCAGUUGCCUGUGCAUGCCAUCCCUCCCUACUCUGCUUUGAUGUCACCCAUCAGUUAGUCUCACACACACACACACACUCCACAUCACCCAUCAGUUUGCCCGACAGACACCUAAAUGUACAUCUUCACACUCAUGAAGUGCCCAACAUUUUUACAUCACACAUCAGAUUACACCAGAUUCACUCACACACACACACACACACACACACACACACACACACACACACACACACACACACACACACACACUCGCACAUUCACAAAUCAUCACACAUCAGUUAUGUCUUUGGAGUGGGAGGGGUUGACAGGAGAGAGGAGGAAGUACACAGGAAGUACAUUAGUUAUCACUCCCCUGUCUUCUCCACCUUUUCACUUCUUAUCACCACCUGACGUCUCAGACCCUGGCCGAGCCACUUCUCCUUCCCAUCCCACCCCUUUCCUUUUCUCUUUCUGUCUCUGUCUUGCUCACACACACGCCUUUAAAAAUGACUUCCGUGCUCCACUUUAAUGUCGGGCCCUUGGAUCUAGAUGACACUUGGCAAGCCGCAGCAGCCGCAAGACAACCGGAUGAAAUAUUUAAAUGAAAUAUGGCAGGGGUAUAAGAGGUGAAGAAAGGAAGGGGAAUAAACGAUGGAGAGAAAAGAAUACAAGACAUAGGAUGAGGAAAGAGAGAGUGGCAAUAUUCAGAUGGUGAGCAGAAUGUGAGGAAUUUCUUUUCUUGGCUAAGAGAGGGCCGGUUGACAAGAGGUGCAGAUGAAUUGGCUUUCACCUAAAUGUAGCCUGGAGAGAUAUAUACCUAUAUAGAAUGAGAUCACAUCGCUUCAUCUUGGAAUCAUCAGCAAGUCUCAGGAUGUGUCAAAGCGGCGUCAGCACUGUGCCAGCUCAGCUGCUUAGAGGAGGGCAAUGAAUCUAAAACAUACCUAAAUGAAAUGAAACAGUGAUUUUGUGACUUUAAAAUGUAGUUCUGUCUGGCUUUUUUAAUCAAUAAGCCUAGAAGUCUAUACAGAGCCAUAAUGCGAGACGAGACUAAAUGCUAACAUGGCUAUAUGCUCAAUGACAGCGUUGAUGUUUAGCAGGCAUUAGCUUACUGUGUUAAUACAAAAGAUUCACCAGCAUGAAUGGCAUCGUCGACUCUGAAUCAUUGUGUGAUUGUUUGAAAGCACAAUGUCUCAGCUUGUGAAACAUUUUAUUAUACCAAAACCACAACAACAAUAGAUGAGGCAGCAGCAAUAGUUCCCUCCUUGUAAAGACUGCGUGCACACCAAGAGUCAUUCUUUUUUUGUUGUUGCAUUUUUUAUUUUUUUACCGUCCAAAGACCAAACUGCUUUUUUGUGUAUUUCUUUGUAAGAAAAGGGGGUGAACAUUAUGGAGUUAGAUGUGUUUGUUUGCACUGAACAGAGAUUACUACCUAGGCUCUAAUAAAUGGAAUUAGUUUUGAAGAUACCCUGUCAAAAACAAAGUGAAAAACUGGGCCUAAAGAAGGAGUCAAGUAAUUAGCAGUUGUUACUAUUAACUCUGCUGGGAACAUGGAUGUUUGUAACAAAUUGCAUGGUCCAAUCCAGCCAUUAGCUUAGUUAGCCAUGAAUAGCACUCAUGGAGCAGUCACGAAAUGAUAAAAACCUGUAGAAGUUAUUGUUAAAGAGCCACAUAGGCACCAAUCCUUGCAGGCAGCUGUUUGGAUAUUUCAUUUGACAAAUUAAACGCUCUUCCAAGGUGGUGAUGGAAAUUAAAGGGGCUCAUUAGAAUUUUUCUCAUCCACAAUGGAUCUCAAUAUCUUGCAAUGUUUUUGUUGCAGUUUUUCUUGUUUAUAAAGCAUUUAACAAAUUAGUUAAGAAAAUACUAUACAAAAUAACAUUAUUAUUCAACAGUCCAUACAUUUCACCGAAAGCCAAUGAUCCUCAUGAUGGUGUUAAGUGAGCACCAAUAUUAACAGGACACAUCCUCGGCGGACCAUCAGUGUCUGCACAGAAUUUUGCAACACGCCAUUCGUUAGUUGUUCAGAUAUUUCAGUCUGGACGAAAGUGAUGUUUCGAGUGAUACUAUUCUGACAAGUCAUUAACAUUUUGUGUAUGAUCACAGUUUAACUUAGAUUUAUGGCAUUUUUUUCUGUCUGUUUAAUACACUAAACACUACUCACAAAAAUUCUGAAGCCUCAGAAUGUGAUCAAAUCAAAUCAGGCUUUAUUGUCCUUUAGCUGUACAUACGUCAGUGGUGUGGACAAGAUGAGAGAGUGUUUCUCCAGGAUCCAAUUUAAAGCAAUUUAACAAACUUUAUGAUAGAGGAAAGAAAAAAAGGACAAUCAAAAGAACACCCACACUUAUGUAAUCACACAACCACCACUCACCCUCCUUCCCACACACAUACACACAUCACUAAGUUUUACAAAUUGGCAGUUGUUGAAUUGUUAUUAAGUGUCCAUAGCAGCAGCCUGUGAUGUAAAGUCCACAACGGUUAAAGUGACCUUGUGGAAUAAUAAACAAUUUAAAUACUGAAACCAAAAAAGCUCAACUUGGAUUGGGGUGCAGAAGUGUAUGCAUAUCCUGAUCAGAAGUUUAGCAUUCUGACAGCUUGUGGAAUGAAGCUGUUGUGAUUGAACACAUUAUGAAGGACACCAAUAUAAAUGUCAGACUUUUUUUUGCCUCUUUAAACUUGAAAAAAAAGGCUGAUCUUUGCUUAUAUGAUGCAUAGUUACCCAGCCCCAGUGAGCUAAGGUUUCUUAGCAAGAAUUAAUGUUUUUAUUUGCAACUCAAGUAGGUCUGCCCUGUAUAUAAUUUCAGCAUCAACAAUAUGACUUGUGCAUUAGUAACACUGUGGGACAUGUGAUGUGAGGUAAGUAAAUUAACUCAGAUGCCAUGCUACAGCUUUUUGUUGCAUGGUGAUGAAAGACACUCACAAAGUUCUCAUUGUUACAUUUCUAAUCUACAGUGAUUAAACCUCAUUUAGUCUGUGAUUAUAGCGUAUAGAUUUAGAUUUGUUUAAACUUUAUUUAAACAACAGAGAAUUUGUUCGAGGUGCACAUGUGGAAAAUGAGCAAAGCAAGGAAAAAGAAAACCUUGUUUGCGAAAAGAAACACAAUGUCAUCUGUGUGAAAACAUUUCCAUAGGCAAGAGGCAAUACAACUGAUUUGCUUUCUCAUUUAAAUAAGUGCCAAAAAAUCUGCAUAAGUAGUAUAAAGACAGAUCUGGAUUCUAUCCAAAGCAGAAAUAACAUUUUAUAUACCUUUGCCUGGUAGGUUCCACUAUUGGAGAAACUGCCUUUUUGUUUGUCUGUUAUUUUUCUUCAGAUUUCUCACUGAUUGACUUUUACUUUCAAGGCAACAAAAUCACUCCAAUCCUUCUAGAAUGACCAAUUCUUUUUAAAUAAAGUUAUUUAAGUUAAGUCAUCUGGUGAAAAUACCUGUACUUUUUCAUACCACAAUAAAUAUUGCAGCAAAGCAAGGCAUUUCAAUGUCUUUUUCUUUCAGUACUGUGCAGCCAUGAACUCAAGGUCUUCCAGAGUUGAGCCUUAGUUUUUGUUAUGUAUGAUUCUGAAUUAUAAUAAAAUUUUGAGCGAGCUAAUUGUUGACUAUGAGUGCACUUAACAGAGUGUGUGUCUGCCUGUAAAAGUGUGGAUUCCUAGUGAUUACAGCAGCUGCAAGCUACCCAAGCUUGUCCAGAGUGGGAAGUAGCAAUUAUGAGAGCAGAGAGGGGACCAAAGGAACACCAAAAAUAAAUUAGUAGAGGAUUUUUUUCUCAUAUUUUAUUCUUUUGUUAUAUAUUUAUUAAAUAAUUUCAGUUCCCUUUGUGUAAAAAUGUCUUCUAACUCAUACGGAAAAGUAAAGAAGACAAAAAAAUUGCCUUUUUUCAUUUUAUUUUUUUACUAUCCAAGACCCCUAAGACCUAAACAUCUUUAAACUAGGACUAUAACUGAGCCUUGUAAUUCCGUGUUCUACAUCUUGAAAGCACAAAGUGUAUAUGUGAGUUUUAUACAGCUUAUUUAAUUAUCCGCUCUUGUCAAAUUGGUGAUAUUUAUUGAUCGUUUUAGCUUGCUGGUCCUGCAAACGCCUAUUUAAAGUGUUGCAUGUUCUCCACUGUGUGUGUGUGUGUGUGUGUGUGUGUGUGUGUGUGUGUGUGUGUGUGUGUGUGUGUGUGUGUGUGUACAUAAUGUAGACUGUUAAACAUGUGUGCAUGGGUUUGUAUUUGUCCUGCUUUUCACAAAACUGGACAUCAGGGCUACCUGCCAGACACGUGUGUGUGUUUAUUAGCUUGUACAGUAAGUAAAAGGAAGUGAACCCAA